AUACGUAGGUGACAAGCGUUAUCCGGAUUUACUGGGCGUAAAGGGCGUGUAGGCGGUCUUGCAAGUCAGAAGUGAAAUUCCUGAGCUCAACUCGGGCGCUGCUUCUGAAACUGCAGGACUUGAGUGCUGGAGGGGAUAGCGGAAUUCCUAGUGGAGCGGUAAAAUGCGCAGAUAUUAGGAAGAACACCGGUGGCGAAGGCGGCUAUCUGGACAGUAACGGACGCUGAGGCGCGAAAGCGUGGGGAGCAAACAGGAUUAGAUACCCGGGUAGUCCACGCCGUAAACGAUGAAUACUAGGUGUAGGGGGUAUCGACUCCCUCUGUGCCGCAGUUAACACAAUAAGUAUUCCGCCUGGGGAGUACGGCCGCAAGGUUGAAACUCAAAUGAAUUGACGGGG
rnacentral:rRNA from 1 species